UCCCGGACCCGCCUCGUGUUCGCGUACUAUGUCACCUGCGUCGGCUUCAUCUAUCCUUGAGUUUCAGAUGUUGUUCCAGUCGCACGCUGUGCUGCAGCAGAUGCUGGAAUUCGCUCUGUUUGUGUCGCCCACUUCAGUUGGGACUUCAUCUAUGCGGAAUACGUAAUGGCUGCGGGAAAUCAUCAUCGUAAGAUAGUUUGGCAGAUAGCAGAAGACUAUUCACAUUGGGCAUUCUUAAUCCGGCUCCCAGGAUAUUGCCAAGUAAGUUAUUAAAUUGAUUAGUCAUAGUGAUGGGUGUUUAUAUUUAUUUAUCUCAGUUACAGCUGGACAUUAUCCGCAUUGUGAAUUUCACGUGCCAUUUUUUUACAGUGCCCACUUUCCUCAACGUUAUAGAUGUACCGUUGGUUGUUAGAAGGUUGCACAUAUCCCGUAAGGAGGUUUGAUCGGCAAAACUCAAAUUGACAUCCUUUGUAGUCCAAUAUUGUGUAUAAUGCAGUAUCUCGAUGUAGGUUAGGAAGGAACUUGGAAUUGGGAUGAUGCGAAGCUAGCUAUCCUCCAUUUUGGCGGACAGGCGAGUUUAGUUUGAGUGGUUGAUAGUUUUGUACACAAUAAUUGGGUUGCUUUAAGAAGACAAAGAUACAAUAAUUGGAAACUAAAAAAUUUCUUUAGAUUAGAGGGGUGUAGCUGGUCUGUUUCUUCAACUACGUGACAACAGUACUUCCAACUUGAGGUUUCAUGUGAUCUUCUUAUUAUCUUUUCACUGAUGAUUUUACAUAUACUGCAUUAUGUGUUCAUAUAUAACAGUGAGAAUAUAUUAGCAAUCUGUGCUUUGGACCAUGCUGAUAUGUCACUUAUGUUCAGUUAGGAAUUUUUACUUGUACCAGCAGCAUUGUUUGUUUCCUGAACUAUUGCUCUCUUAUUCAUUUGUGUCAAAAUCUGCCUUGCCUGCAACCAUCAGGCUGGAGUUGGAGGAAAAGUACUUGCCUCCCGGUUGAUUGUGCUUGGUAUGUUCCGUUGCGUGUCCUUUAGAGCCCACGUUAUGCAAAAGCCACUUACAUUAUGGCCCUAGUUCACCUUCUUACGACUGAUAUGAUAUUUGAUUUGGGUUUGUGGUGCAUCUGAGAGCGAAAACCUUCCACCGAACUUUGUAAAGCUUGCUGAAGAUGCAUACACACCUGAUCUCAUUGCAGCCUCUAAUUGUAUGCUUGCAUACAAGCGUCCAUUUGUAUUUGCGCGGCGUGAUUACUUCAAUGAAGAACCAUUCUUGAGGAAUAUGCUGAAGUACUAUCAAGCUGGAGUAGAGAUGAUUAGGAGGGACUUACUCACUGGCCAUUGGAAACCUUACCUUGAACAAGCGAUCAGUCUUAAACCAUGCUAUGAAGGUGGCAUUAAUGGUGGCCAGGUAGCAGCUUACAUAUUGCAGGAGACAGCCGCUGCGAGAAAUUACGGAUCAGAUAAAUUUAGUGGGGCAAGUAGACUGCGCGACGCAAUAGUUCUUGGGCAUCAGCUGCAAAGAAUGCCUGGAAGAGACCUAUGCAUACCAGAUUGGUAGGCAAACGCUGAAAAUGAACUGGGCCUUAGCGCUGAAUCACCAAAAGUUGGAAUGAGUGAGAAAAGUUCCCAAAUGACUUUAUGCCCUUAUGAUUUUGAAAUUCUUCAUGGAGAUCUUCAUGAGCUUUCUGAUACAGUGAGUUUCUUGAAGAGUUUGUCAGAAAUUGUGAGUGAAGCUGGAAGGGAUCCUGAGAUGAGGCAGAUGCGGGAGCGUAAAGCAGCUGCCGGACUCUUUAAUUGGGAGGUCUGAUUAUCUUAUUUGGAUUAGUUUCUACAUUUUUAUUCCUCUUCCAGUUUGAUGGAUCAAACGCCUGUUGGAUUUAUUUGGAAAUUUCAUGAGUGGGAUGUGGGAGGUAAAUGUUUGUGUAUUAGUUCUUUCAAAAAGGGUUCCCAUUGGGGCAAAAGUAAUGAAUCCUUCUGACUUCUGAUUUUUGGCAAAAGUCGGUGAGAGAUACUCUGCAAAGUGUCCCUUUUUUGUUUCAGUAAUUUGUAAGUGUCGUUUAGUUGCAUUUUUGUGUAGUGAGGGGAGCUGUAAACUGAUCGUGGCCAUUUUUUUUAACAUUUUUCUUGCUUCUACUGUAUAUGUGGAGUGGGUUGGUGCUUCCGUAUGGGACUUGGUGGCAAAUGUUGUAAUUUUGAUUUGACUGUUUUCACAAUAAUUAAACAGGAAGAAAUAUUUGUCACGAGCACCUGGAAGGUUAGAUGUAAUGGGUGGAAUUGCUGACUAUCCAGGAAGCCUUGUGUUGCAGGGUUUAAACAUUAGCCCGCGGGAUCUUGCUUUGCUUUGCCAGAAGGUAGAGAACCACAUUGUUGGAGCUCCGUGCGGUGUAAUGGACCAGAUGACUUCUGCUUGUGGGGAAGCAAACAACCUUCUUGCCAUGGUCUGCUAGCCUGCUGAGGUGAUUGGACUUGUAGAAAUUCCCAGUCAUGUCCGAUUCUGGGGAAUUGAUUCAGGAAUUCGUCACAGUAUCGGAGGUGCAGAUUAUGGAUCUGUCAGAAUUGGUGCCUUUAUGGGUCGAAGGAUGAUAAGCACUAUGCUGUCUGGGACUCUGUCGAAUGGAAACGGGACAAAUCAAGAUGAACUGGAGGAGGAUGGUCUUGAACUUCUUGAAUCUGAAGCUUCAUUAGAUUAUCUAUGCAACCUGUCACCUCACAGGUGUCCUUCAAAUAUAUGCUUAGAAACUUUGGUCGCCACUUGUGCUAAAUGUGAUGCGCCAUUCCACCCUAUAUACAUGAGCCGCUCUCUUUAUAA